GAUGAACGCUGGCGGCGUGCCUAAUACAUGCCAGUCGAGCGAACAGACGAGGAGCUUGCUCCUCUGACGUUAGCGGCGGACGGGUGAGUAACACGUGGAUAACCUACCUAUAAGACUGGGAUAACUUCGGGAAACCGGAGCUAAUACCGGAUAAUAUAUUGAACCGCAUGGUUCAAUAGUGAAAGACGGUUUUGCUGUCACUUAUAGAUGAAUCCGCGCCGCAUUAGCUAGUUGGUAAGGUAACGGCUUACCAAGGCAACGAUGCGUAGCCGACCUGAGAGGGUGAUCGGCCACACUGGAACUGAGACACGGUCCAGACUCCUACGGGAGGCAGCAGUAGGGAAUCUUCCGCAAUGGGCGAAAGCCUGACGGAGCAACGCCGCGUGAGUGAUGAAGGUCUUCGGAUCGUAAAACUCUGUUAUUAGGGAAGAACAAAUGUGUAAGUAACUAUGCACGUCUUGACGGUACCUAAUCAGAAAGCCACGGCUAACUACGUG
rnacentral:rRNA from 1 species